rnacentral:rRNA from 1 species
UAGGGAAUCUUCGGUAAUGGACGAAAGUCUGACCGAGCAACGCCGCGCGAGUGAAGAAGGUUUUCGGAUCGUAAAACUCUGUUGUUAGAGAAGAACAAGGACGUUAGUAACUGAACGUCCCCUGACGGUAUCUAACCAGAAAGCCACGGCUAACUACGUGCCAGCAGCCGCGGUAAUACGUAGGUGGCAAGCGUUGUCCGGAUUUAUUGGGCGUAAAGCGAGCGCAGGCUGUUUCUUAAGUCUGAUGUGAAAGCCCCCGGCUCAACCGGGGAGGGUCAUUGGAAACUGGGAGACUUGAGUGCAGAAGAGGAGAGUGGAAUUCCAUGUGUAGCGGUGAAAUGCGUAGAUAUAUGGAGGAACGCCAGUGGCGAAGGCGGCUCUCUGGUCUGUAACUGACGCUGAGGCUCGAAAGCGUGGGGAGCGAACAGG